GUAAAGAUUAAACUGUGAUCUUAGUUUAAUUUAUUUGCACUAAAGUUACAGUAAAAUAUUACGCAGUAAAAAAGUUAUAUUAAUUGUGCAGGAGAGGAAGGAAGCCCAGAGGGCUUAUACAAAAUCCUCUCCUUCAUUUCAACAAUACAACAAUACAACAUCAAAUAGAUUAAAAGCAGGUACAGCAGAGAGAAGAAAAAAGAAAGAAAAAAUAAUUGAGACAGAUAUUUGAACGCUUUAAAUGUGAAAGAGAUGUAAUACAUACGCAGUCACACAAAAUUCUAUUUAGAUAAAAGAUAUUUUUCAAAUGUAUUUGAAAGUUAUUAAAGAAGAUGACGACUUCAAAGUUGUACUUAGUGAAUUCCAGAGAUGAGGACCUCUAAAUUUGAUAAAAAAAUUGAUGACUUCAAGCAAACCGUUGUUGGACAUCACAUAAAGAGCAUGCUUGAUUGAGUAAUUUAUUUUUGCAUUUAUUUCAAACCACUUUCUCUCAGUAGCAUGGUUUUGCCUUGACAGGCUUUGUAUUUACAGGCGCCUGUUGGUGUUUGUGCGGUAAGCUUGGAGGUUGUCUUGUUGGUGCAAGCAAAGAUAGAAUUCCUGUCCAUAAUCAACGCUUAACUGAUCAAAAAGGCCAUACUUUAAGCAAAUAUCUCUACAGACCUCAUCAUAAAUGGUGAGGUUGUUCUUGAUAGGCAUGACUGCAAAACCAAGAUCUUAUCACUGAAUACAUCUGAAUACAUCUUGUUUUGAUCCAUGCGUGAUUUAUGUCCUGCGUACUCUGCAACAUACAAAUGAGGAUUUGUCUGCCUGGCAGCACCAUCUCUUCUCAUUUGAGUGUAGACUGAGGUCAUUUCAGCAAGUGCUUGCCUGACGCACUGCUCUCCCAACUUUUAUCCAGCAGCUCUCAACAUACCUGUCAUUACUUUCCUUCUACAAUAUGGUCCACUUUUUGACACUGCUGAUGCUACAACAUCAUUUAUCCUCUUGUAAUUCCAUACUGGGUCUGCAGGACUUGCAAGACCUUUGUUACAGGUGUACCCCUGUUCUUCCACCACCCUUUGGAUUAUGUUCUCAUAUUCAUCAAGGGCAGACAUGGAGAACUUUAAGAUCACAGUUUUCUCCAAGAUGCUACAGGCUAGACAGCAUUUUUCAUCUACAAGCCAAAAAAAUCACUUUGUUAAAUUUAUAAUUUAUAAUUGAGUCAAUGCCAAAGCAACAUUUUAUUGUUGUAGCUGCUCGAUGUAAAGUUAGUUUGAACUGUUUUUACUUUAGUACUUUCAGUAAUGAUUGUAUGCAGGGCCAGUGUACAUCAUGUGACGAACUUGGAAGUUAGCUUCACAACCCAGCUGACUCAUGCGCACUUCAGUGUUUCCCACCCACUUCAACAUGUGCAUGAUCCGUGACCUGCCCCACCCCCAGCCCCUACUACACUCAUUAAGCAGUACAUUUCAUUUACAUCAUGAAACUAAAAGACUGACCAUGACAUCAGAGUACCUGUCAAGGGGACGCUUUAAGUCCAUUUUCAAGGUAAGAAAGACUGAACUUUUGCUGUAACGUAGCAUAUUUUAAAUACGUUAUGUUUCGACUAUCAGCGGCUAGUUAUGACUAGCACUGUGGAACAUAACUUAACGUUAGCAAAGUAAGUUUAACGUUAGGAUAUGUGUGGUAGCAACUUAACUUAGCCGACUCAGAGAAAGUGUGAUUGAACUAAAUUUCACAUCCCGCCAGAUUUCCAGUCCCAGUUCCCAUAACAUUACUGUUAACUUUCAAGAGCUGACAGUAGACACCAGAAUGGAGUGAAUUAGAUGUAUUUUGGAACUAACAUUAAAGGUAAUGAAAUUUUGCACAGACACAGGUUAACGAAAACAUCUUUAGGGCAUUUUAAACUUUUAAUCAGUCAUCUAAACAGCUUGGCAAUUGCUGCGGUACAGAAAAUAGAUAUUCCCUGUUGUUAAUUAUCACUGGAAAUCUGUUUUGGAAUGAAAUUCUGGCACAAAAAAUGCAAGACCUGCAGAGUAAAGUUGAAUAUUUAGUCAGCCACUAAUUUACAUGUCAACUAAAUAGCUUAAUUUGCAUCUUGUACUGAUUGGGAUUUUGCUGAACUGGCUAUGGAAGGUAAUAUUAAACUUUUUUAAAAAAUGUGUUCAUCCACAGUUGGAAGAGGAUAGUAUCUAUCUUGAAGAUGACAUCACAAGGGAAACCUUUAUUCCUCACCCUAGUGGCUCUUUCAGAACUCUCCUGAUGCAUGAUUGAGGCACAUUUAAUGUAUGUGGAACAGAAAGGGUCCAGGCUGCCCCCAGUACUUACUCAGGUCUUGGGUCCCAGUUCUCACAACCAAGUAUGUCCUCCUCUGUGCCACCAUCCUGCUGCCCUCAGCCUUUACAACAAACCUCCAACAUCUUUCAAAACCCCAGCAAGAGAAACAAAAGUUUCAAAAGAAAAAUCUAUCUGGCUGAUGUUGAGGAUAAAGGUGAGAUAAAUGCAUACUCUUCAUUGCAUGUGACCAUCGGUGAAGGUGUUGGAGUCCUGGAAAUUGCCAACACCAUGCAAGAAUACAUCAACUCAUCAGAUUCUUUCACCAUUUGUGACUGCAGGGGGGUCUGGCACAACUGAGACAAAAGUGUAUGCAGAUGCAUAGUUCUGGAAAGCCUCAAGUUGUAAGAUAUAUGCUAUCAAGAGCACUGAACUAGUGAAGCUUCAAAAACAGACUUCAUCAUCACAGAAAAGGAGGCGAGGAGUGACGAUCAGAUGCUGCCAAGACUCCAGAACACAGCAUGAGGAGCAGUCUGCGCGAUGUCGAGGAGAGUCUGAAAGUGGAGGUUCAGCGGGCUGAAUCAAAUAUUCGUGAAGAGGUUGAGGAAAAGACAAGUGAACUCGCCUCUCUCAUGAAUCAGCCGAAGGUCACUCAAGCUGACAUGUUGGAGACCUUCAGCCAAUCUAUCAAAUAUUUGGCUCUAGAGGCCCAAGUUACCUGCUGUCUUAGGGAGACAUUCAACUGUAAAUGUGCACUGGCAUCCCUGCAACAUUGGUCAUUGUGGCUUCCUGUUGUGGCCAAUUGAUCGGAGGUGGUGAAUGUGUACAAAAACAUCUGGAAACAAACGACAGCUAUCUUUUGUGCAACGCCAGUUUCUUGGGAACUAAACUGGUUUUCCGAAGAGGGAUGAGUGAGUUUCUUGUGAAACUUUCCUGAAAUGACAAGUCACUUGUCAUUUCACUUGUCAGUACCACUAAAUCUGUUCCAAUAUACCAAUGUUAUUGGUUAGAUUUGUUUCAUAAUUGAACAAAAUUUCCCAAGACUGAAACAAAGUACAUUUAAUUAGAAGUGAAUGAAAAAAAAUUGAAACCAAAAAAUAAGCCCAAAGGCAAGGCUUACAAUAAAGCUAUACAACAUUUGACUGCAAAAUUCUCAAUUUUUCUUUAACUGACCAUGAUUGAUCUUUGCUGUCCAUUUGUUCAGUUUUACUGCUUCAGUUUCAUACCACUUACUGCUCAUCCAGACCACUGAACUGAAAAAUCUAAGCAGUGAGACUGAAAAACUGAAAAAAGUGUAGAAUUUUAUAAUCGAAUGUCUUGUAUAGUUUUAGUGUCAGUUUUUCAUUUUAUGUUAUUUUUUUGUUCAUAUUAUAUUUAAUCGCUUUCAAUAAAUGUUUUUGUUUGAUUUUUGGGAGAUUUUGAUCAGUUAUUAUGAAGCAAAUCUAAUCCCAUAAAAUGUUUGUUCUUUGAGUCACUGUGUUCACUGUUGUUCAUUACAAUUACAAUGACAACCCUUACUGCAAGCUGUUGCAGAUGUUAAUUGCUUGAAUAUGCUGUUAAUUACUUGAGUCUGAUGUUAAUUACUUGGAUAUUACUGCCUCAGAGUUCAACAUGUUUACUGCAAGAUUUGCCCUUUGUGUGUGACAGAAAAGUAUUAAUAAUAAUGAAUCAUUAUUUCCAUUAUUUCAUCUUCAGGCUAAAAUGAUCUUAAUCCAUGAUGUUGCAGUGGGACUAAGAUAGUCUCUGCCUUAAGAUACUUUUAGGAAAUGGAGCUCUAGUCUGUAGUCACGCUCUGAAGACCUACCUUACAAGUAACACUCACGAAGAAAGUGCGAAUACCAGUCAUACACAUUUGUGUAAACUGAAUAACAUCACGUUUUUUCUAAUUUAAAUUGUUACAAUAGGGAAUAAACAGCUGCAUUUGAACAAGGCUCAGAACAGGAUGAAAGAAAAGGCAUGAGACUGGAGGCAUCAUUACAUUUGUUUUGUUUUGUUUUUUACUGAGGAAAAAUCUAUAAAAAAUCAAAGGCUGUGUCUGCUUUACACUGUAGUUUCACCUGAGAAAAUUCAAACAAAUCACACGUUUGGACUGAAGUGU